rnacentral:rRNA from 1 species
GGGGGAAUAUUGGACAAUGGGCGAAAGCCUGAUCCAGCCAUGCCGCGUGUGUGAAGAAGGUCUUCGGAUUGUAAAGCACUUUAAGUUGGGAGGAAGGGCAUUAACCUAAUACGUUAGUGUUUUGACGUUACCGACAGAAUAAGCACCGGCUAACUCUGUGCCAGCAGCCGCGGUAAUACAGAGGGUGCAAGCGUUAAUCGGAAUUACUGGGCGUAAAGCGCGCGUAGGUGGUUUGUUAAGUUGGAUGUGAAAUCCCCGGGCUCAACCUGGGAACUGCAUUCAAAACUGACUGACUAGAGUAUGGUAGAGGGUGGUGGAAUUUCCUGUGUAGCGGUGAAAUGCGUAGAUAUAGGAAGGAACACCAGUGGCGAAGGCGACCACCUGGACUAAUACUGACACUGAGGUGCGAAAGCGAGGGGAGCAAACA